UGAGUUUUGGCUAAAAAGAAAAUAAAUGGAGAAAAAAGAGUGAUAGAGACUAAGAUGAAGGAAAAGAAGAGAGGAAAAGAGAAGAAUAGUAGAGAUCGACGGUAGUGGCGAAAGGGUGGUGCAAAAACGGAAUGGUGAUAAUACCAAAUGGGGCAACGGUGGUGAAAGAAAAAAAAGAAAUAGAUGAUAAGGGAGGAGAGGAGAGGAGCGGCGGUCAAAGAAGCAAGAAAAAGAAAGAAGGGGCAGCCGUGACAGUGGUGUAAGGGGGCAAAAACAACAGAAAGGAGAAAACAAAUAGGGAGGGAAAGCUAAAAGAGGGGACGACACAAUAAGGAGGAAAGAAAAGAUGAAAUGAGAGAAAAGAAAGUCAAAAGGAAAAUUAGAGUUUUUGGGAAGUUAUAAUGGAAACAAGGUAAGAACAAAAGAAAAAUGAAAGAGAGGAAAAAUGAGAGGGGAACGAGGAGGAAAAAUUGAG
rnacentral:lncRNA from 1 species